rnacentral:tRNA from 1 species
UUGGUGAUGUGGCUCAGUGGAACAGUGCUUGCUUAGCAUAUAUGAGGUCCUGGGUUCAAAUCCCAGUACUGAA